UGUUGGUCAUGGUCAAUGGCGGGAUUGGCUUCGGCAAUGCAACAUUUGGAUUGUAACAGAUUUUUUGGUGUCUGUUGUUUUGUGAUUUUUGUGAAAGAUCCAGUUUAAGGAGCUGUGGUGAUAAAAUUUUCCAACACAAAAGAAAAAGACAUAGAAGCAGUACGGUAAUCAAAUAAUGGCUGAAGUCUCCAAAAACUCGGUUUACCAGCAAAGAGAAAUCUAAAAAUGUUCAAACACCGGAUCCUGGAGGAAAAUCUGAAUGCUACAAAAAUUGAGAUUGAAUUGAGGUACAGUAACAUAAACCAGUAUGUAGCUCAAAAAAUUGCUACUUUAAACAGGAAGAGAUUAAAGUAUUCUGGAGCACCACAAUAAGGACCUUUCUUAAUAGAUAGAUGACAUGCAUAUGAGUUAUUUUAAUAAACAAACUUCUCACAUUA